GACGUAGGGUGCGAGCGUUGUCCGGAUUUAUUGGGCGUAAAGCGCUCGUAGGCGGCUCGUCGCGUCGACCGUGAAAACCCGCGGCUUAACUGCGGGCUUGCGGUUGAUACGGGCGGGCUAGAGUUCGGUAGGGGAGACUGGAAUUCCUGGUGUAGCGGUGAACUGCGCAGAUAUCAGGAGGAACACCGAUGGCGAAGGCAGCACUCUGGGACGGUACUGACGCUGAGACGCGAAAGCGUGGGGAGCAAACAGG
rnacentral:rRNA from 1 species